rnacentral:rRNA from 1 species
AUUGAACGCUGGCGGCAGGCCUAACACAUGCAAGUCGAGCGGAUGAGGGGAGCUUGCUCCCUGAUUUAGCGGCGGACGGGUGAGUAAUGCCUAGGAAUCUGCCUGGUAGUGGGGGAUAACGUUCCGAAAGGAACGCUAAUACCGCAUACGUCCUACGGGAGAAAGCAGGGGACCUUCGGGCCUUGCGCUAUCGGAUGAGCCUAGGUCGGAUUAGCUAGUUGGUGAGGUAAUGGCUCACCAAGGCGACGAUCCGUAACUGGUCUGAGAGGAUGAUCAGUCACACUGGAACUGAGACACGGUCCAGACUCCUACGGGAGGCAGCAGUGGGGAAUAUUGGACAAUGGGCGAAAGCCUGAUCCAGCCAUGCCGCGUGUGUGAAGAAGGUCUUCGGAUUGUAAAGCACUUUAAGUUGGGAGGAAGGGCUGCUGGUUAAUACCCUGCAGUUUUGACGUUACCAACAGAAUAAGCACCGGCUAACUUCGUG